rnacentral:rRNA from 1 species
UUAGAGUUUGAUCCUGGCUCAGAACGAACGCUGGCGGCAGGCUUAACACAUGCAAGUCGAACGCGUGUAGCAAUACACGAGUGGCGCACGGGUGAGUAACACGUGGAUAUCUGCCUUUUGGUUCGGAAUAACCCUGGGAAACUAGGGCUAAUACCGAAUGGUUCCUACGGGAUAAAGAUUUAUCGCCAAAAGAUGAGUCCGCGUCCGAUUAGCUAGUUGGUGAGGUAAUGGCUCACCAAGGCGACGAUCGGUAGCUGGUCUGAGAGGACGAUCAGCCACACUGGGACUGAGACACGGCCCAGACUCCUACGGGAGGCAGCAGUGGGGAAUAUUGGACAAUGGGGGCAACCCUGAUCCAGCCAUGCCGCGUGAGUGAUGAAGGCCUUCGGGUUGUAAAGCUCUUUUGGCGGGGACGAUGAUGACGGUACCCGCAGAAUAAGCCCCGGCUAACUUCGUGCCAGCAGCCGCGGUACCCA